rnacentral:lncRNA from 12 species
AGGUGGUGGAGGAGGCGGAGGAGGACGGCGGCGGCGGCGGCGGCGGCGGCGGCGUGGGCUCCGCGUGGCCCGGGCUCCCGCCGUCCCCCAGCAGCGCCCCCCCGGCGGCGGCGGCGGCGGCGGCGGCGGCGGCGGGCAGAGGCGGGGGCCCGCAGCAGCUGCACAGCAGCCCCCACCACCAGCACAGCCACGGCGCCCGCGGCCCCAGCAUCCCCGCCCGGCCGGGCUGGCCCCGCGGGGCGCGCAGCGGCGGAGCGCGGCCGGAGCGCGGCCGCUGUGGCCCUCGGCGUGAGCAGCCCCCGCCACCUCUCGGCGGGCUCGCUUCCCCUUCCUGGCCCUCAGUCCUUAUCUCUCAUCGUCCCGGGGGCGCCCCCGAGUGCCCGGGCUGGAGGGGAGGCGGCGGGGGCGCGGGCCCCUCGGAGGCGCAUGGUCCGAAAACAGGUGCGUCCGAGCCGGGCCGCGCUGCUGCCGGCCCCAAAAGGUCGCCCGCGGGCGGGUCACGGCGCGGUCACCGUCGGGCCUCGCGGCCCGCGCACGUGCGCCGUCCCGCGCCCUCCGGGCGGCUCAGCAGCCGGGGCGGGCGGCCGGCAGCAUCCCCGCGCGCCUCUGCGGGGCUCGCACGGCCGCCGGGGACCCCCGCCCGUCCGCCGGCGGCGCCCCGGAGGGGCCAGCCUUCUCGGCCACGCUGAACUCCCCCGCUCGCAGACUCCGCGCCCCUCGACUCUCGGCACCGCCGCUCGGCCCCGGCGGGCGGAGGCGGCCCCGCGGGCCUCUCCGGGGCGCAGGGCGGCUCUCCGGGGCUGCCCCGCCCGCCCCCCGCGGCGCCCCGAGGUCGCCAGCCUCCGGCUCCGGGCGCCGCGCUUCCCCGCAGGGCCAACGUGGGCUCUCUGGUGCGCGUCUCGCUCAGGUACCGGCACUCCAGCCCGGGAGGCCCCGCCCCCCGCGGUGACGGACAGGUCCGGCAGCCAAUGGCGGGGCGCGCCUCGCCCGCAUUUGAAUAGGCCCGCCCCCUUCUUUCACCCUCCCUCUCCGGGGAGGCGUCGCCCGGGCCGCGCGUCGGUUGCGAGUCCCGGGAAUUCUCCCGGAGGCGCCCAAAGUAGGUCGACGGGUCCGCACCCUAAGGGAAACCCGCCGUCGUUUGCCAUCGCCUGAGAGGCCUCACGGGAUGCUCUCGGUACAUAAAAGCAGAAUCAGCUGCUAAGUCACUGCCACCUGUAUUAACAGAGGAACAGCAGCGAUAGUUCCUAUUACUUAGUGUCUUUU